GAAGGAAAGAAGGUGGGCGGCGUGCACAGCGCCGUUCAUUGACGGUACCUUCAGAGGAAGCCCCGGCCAACUCUGUGCCAGCAGCCGCGGUAAGACAGAGGGGGCAAGCGUUGCUCGGAAUCACUGGGCGUAAAGGGCGCGUAGGCGGGGGCCCAAGUCGGUCGUGAAAUCCUCGGGCUCAACUCGAGGGGGUCGGCCGAAACUGGGUUUCUUGAGGGGCGCAGAGGAGCCUGGAAUUCCCGGUGUAGCGGUGAAAUGUGUAGAGAUCGGGAGGAACACCGGUGGCGAAGGCGGGGCUCUGGGCGCACCCUGACGCUGAGGCGCGAAGGCGUGGGGAGCAAACGGGAUUAGAUACCCCGGUAGUCCACGCGGUAAACGAUGACGACUAGGUGUGGGGGGGUUCAGUCCCUUCCGUGCCGCAGCUAACGCAGUAAGUCGUCCGCCUGGGGAGUACGGCCGCAAGGUUGAAACUCGAAGGAAUUGACGGGGGCCCGCACAAGCGGUGGAGCAUGUGGUUCAAUUCGAUGCAGAGCGAAGAACCUUACCCAGGCUCGAACGGCAGAUGACAUCCGGCGAAAGCCGGCUCCCGCAAGGGCAUCUGUCGAGGUGCUGCAUGGCUGUCGUCAGCUCGUGUCGUGAGAUGUUGGGUUAAGUCCCGCAACGAGCGCAACCCUU
rnacentral:rRNA from 1 species